UACGGAGGAUCCAAGCGUUAUCCGGAUUCAUUGGGUUUAAAGGGUGCGUAGGCGGAAUAGUAAGUCAGUGGUGAAAGCCUACAGCUUAACUGUAGAAUUGCCAUUGAUACUGCUAAUCUUGAGUACAUUUGAAGUGGGCGGAAUGUGUCGUGUAGCGGUGAAAUGCUUAGAUAUGACACAGAACACCGAUUGCGAAGGCAGCUCACUAAACUGUUACUGACGCUGAGGCACGAAAGCGUGGGGAUCAAACAGG
rnacentral:rRNA from 1 species